AAUGCCUAACUAAAAUAUUAUUGUAUCAAGUGUAGCAUCUCUUAUUAGUUUAAUAUUUGAUAUGUGGGUCAAUGGUUCACACGGUAUUAAAUUUAUUUCUCGAGGGAGAGAGUCCACCACCGUAGGUUGCUAUUGGCCUCUCACGUGUUGCUUUUGCGUUGCACUAUAGCAAUUGCCAGGCGCACCCCAC